CGGCGCACAAGAAGAGAGUACCUUGAAAAGCAACUUAACUUAAGCAACUCACUAAUAACAUUAGGUUACUCUAUUUGAUUGAUAAAGCCAAAGAUAAAGCAAUGGCACAUGAUAAGAGGAGACCAUUCACAG